ensembl:misc_RNA Metazoa_SRP Metazoan signal recognition particle RNA
GCUGGGCGUGGUGGUGCACGCCUGUAGUCCCAGCUACUCAGGAGGCUGAGACAGAAGAAUCACUUGAACCUGGGAGGUGGAGGUCAUAGUGAGCUGAGAUUGUGCCACUGUACUCCAGCUUGGGUGACAGAGUGAGACUCUGUCUCCA